GAUCAUGGCUCAGGAUGAACGCUAGCUACAGGCUUAGCACAUGCGAGUUGAGGGGCAGCAUGGUCUUAGCUUGCUAAGGCCGAUGGCGACUGGCGCACGGGUGAGUAACGCGUAUCCAACCUGCCUUACACUCUUGGACAGCCUUCUGAAAGGGAGAUUAAUACAAGAUGUUAUCAUGAGUAAGCAUUUUCGCAUGAUUAAAGGUUUACCGGUGUAAGAUGGGGA
rnacentral:rRNA from 1 species